rnacentral:rRNA from 1 species
GGCCAGACUCCUACGGGAGGCAGCAGUGGGGAAUAUUGCACAAUGGGGGAAACCCUGAUGCAGCAACGCCGCGUGAGUGAAGAAGUAUUUCGGUAUGUAAAGCUCUAUCAGCAGGGAAGAAGAUGACGGUACCUGAUUAAGAAGCCCCGGCUAACUACGUGCCAGCAGCCGCGGUAAUACGUAGGGGGCAAGCGUUAUCCGGAUUUACUGGGUGUAAAGGGGGCGCAGACGGCGAUGCAAGCCCGGAGUGAAAGCCCGGGGCUCAACCCUGGGACUGCUCUGGAAACUGUAAGGCUGGAGUGCGGGAGGGGCAGGCGGAAUUCCUGGUGUAGCGGUGAAAUGCGUAGAUAUCAGGAGGAACACCGGCGGCGAAGGCGGCCUGCUGGACCGUAACUGACGUUGAGGCUCGAAAGCGUGGGGAGCAAACAGGAUUAGAUACCCGAGUAUC